ACGCCUCUCUGAGCGGCGUCCCGACGGAGACGCUAAGCUAGCGGGGGCAAAGUUUCAGUGUUUUCCAUUGAUGUGUACGGCACGAAAAUUAAAACAAGAAGAAUGCCGGCUCAUUGUGCGGCAUACAGUUCCACACUACAUCGGACGAUCAAGACAAGGAAACUUGGAAUAACUUUCCACAGGGUGGGGAAAAUGUUGCUGUGGCCCAUUACAUGGUGAGCCAGAGAGGAACAGGCCGACAUUCCCACAUCACUGGACGCAGUGUACAUAAUCAAAGAAUUGAAAGAUUAUGGCGAGAUGUGUAUGGAAAUGUCCUUGACUUGUUCCACACACUAUUUCUCAGUUUGGAAGUGGAAGGGUUUCUAAACCCUGAAAAUGAACUGGAGUUAUUCGCUCUCCACUGGACCUACGUCCCACAGCUGCAGCAGCAUCUUCAGGCAUUCAAGGAAGCCUGGACUCACCAUAGUUUGAGGACAGAGAGAGGGCAAUCCCCCAUGCAACUGUGGCUUAGUCAGCCACGUGAGGGAAAUGCUGCUGAUCCAGUUGAGGUUGCUGCUGAUUAUGGAACAGACUGGACAGGACCUCACACCCCAUACCCAGAAGGCGUCACUGUACCUGAUGCACAACUACCCCGGCAGCUUACACAGGCUGAAGUUACAUCAUUGCCUGAUCCGGCCGUCCCUUUUUCUGCUGCAUUACGGGCAUACAUGGAUACAGUGUAUAUUCUUAAGGACAUUUUUCAACAAACCUAGACAUAUCACAACUCACCUUAACAGAAUCAGAAUGAAACGAACAAGACUCAAAAGAAUGCUGCAAAUUUUUGGUGCAUAAUUUUAUGACCAGUUGUGAAUUUCAAAUAAAUGCCUUUGAAAACUACAAUGUACAAAGACACAGCAAAGGGAUAUAAAACUGCUUUUAUUGCAUGCUGAAUAGUUUGACAGCUUUUAAAAGCAUUAAAACAAUGUGCCAAUAAAAACGUUUAAUAGAACUGACAAUUAUUUUCUUUAACUUCCAAACAUUUAUAUUACAACUGUUCUCCAAAGACAGUCUUCCACAAGUGUGGAAACAUUUUGUUGUCGCAGAAAUGCACAAACCUGAACCAUCGUUUUUGA